rnacentral:rRNA from 1 species
AGAGUUUGAUCCUGGCUCAGGACGAACGCUGGCGGCGCGCCUAACACAUGCAAGUCGAACGAGAGAGAAGGAGCUUGCUUCUUCGAUCGAGUGGCAACGGGGUGAGUAACGCGUGAGGAACCUGCCUCAAAGAGGGGGACAACAGUUGGAAACGACUGCUAAUACCGCAUAAGCCCACGGGUCGGCAUCGACCGGAGGGAAAAGGAGCAAUCCGCUUUGAGAUGGCCUCGCGUCCGAUUAGCUAGUUGGUGAGGUAAUGGCCCACCAAGGCGACGAUCGGUAGCCGGACUGAGAGGUUGAACGGCCACAUUGGGACUGAGACACGGCCCAGACUCCUACGGGAGGCAGCA